CUACGGGACGCACCAGUGAGGAAUAUUGCACAAUGGGGGGAACCCUGAUGCAGCAACGCCGCGUGGAGGAUGACGCAUUUCGGUGUGUAAACUCCUUUUAUAUGUCAAGAAAAUGACGGUAGCAUAUGAAUAAGCACCGGCUAACUCCGUGCCAGCAGCCGCGGUAAUACGGAGGGUGCAAGCGUUACUCGGAAUCACUGGGCGUAAAGGACGCGUAGGCGGGUUGGAAAGUCAGGUGUGAAAUCCUACAGCUUAACUGUAGAACUGCACUUGAAAGUUCUAAUUAGAGUAUGGGAGGGUGGUGUGGAAGUAGAGGUGGUGGGGGAAAAUCCGUAAAUAUCACUAGGGAUACGUAAAGCGAAGGUGAUCACCGGGAACAUUAUUCACGCUCAGGCGUGAAAGCGUGGGCAGCAAACAGGCUUCAAUACCCCUGUAGUC
rnacentral:rRNA from 1 species